rnacentral:misc_RNA from 1 species
GGCCCCCUGCUGAUCAGCAGCCAGACCGCCGGGGCACCAGGCUUCCUUCUCAUUUUGGGCUAUUUGCCCCCACCGCGUGUUGCUUGGGGUGGCUACCCCUGUUUUGGGUACUACUCGGUUCCGGUGAUUUGCCCAUUCGGCUUCUGUCCGGCCUUCGUGUCCGGCAAGCCGCCUCGGUUUGGUGGGGGGCGCUCCCGUGGCACCGGCCGACUCGUCUGCCGGGGUCGCGAGGCAGCUGCACCCAGCCAGCAUCGGUACUCUCGGGUGCGGUCGAACGUGUGGACACCGGGGGUCCCCUCGGGGCGCCCUCUGUUCCCAGACGCAAUGCGGUCGUCGGCUGGUUCGGAAAUUGCUCGGAGCGGCGUUGUGCCACGGCGCAUCGUCGCUGCCGACAUCGGUGCUGUGCUACCUGGUUGAUCCUGCCAGUAGUCAUAUGCUUGUCUCAAAGAUUAAGCCAUGCAUG